UACAGAGGGGCAAGCGUUAUUCGGAAUUAUUGGGCGUAAAGGGCUCGUAGGCGGCCAACUAAGUCGGAUGUGAAAUCCCCAGGCUUAACCUGGGAACUGCAUCCGAUACUGGAUGGCUUGAAUCCGGGAGAGGGAUGCAGAAUUCCAGGUGUAGCGGUGAAAUGCGUAGAUAUCUGGAGGAAUACCGGUGGCGAAGGCGGCAUCCUGGACCGGCAUUGACGCUGAUGAGCGAAAGCUAGGGAGCAAACGGG
rnacentral:rRNA from 1 species